ACCCAAAUCUAACCACUUUUCCCAUGGCUUCUCCUCUGUCUACUUCAUUUUGUUUGACCUCAAUAAACUUGGGUAAAAUAUCAGAAAUAGUGAUUAUUUUACGAGGAUAUAUACAAUGAAACAUCAAGAACCAUUUUUCUCAUUUAAUGGCCAGUUAUUACAAUGUAGCUGAUGACAUAUGAAUAUACCAUGACUUGUUUUUGUUGUUGUUUUGCUCACAGGUGCCAUUUCGAGCUUGACUCACAUAACAGUGGUACGCUAACAGCAACGGUCUCGGAAAUGUUGGCUGAAAAACUACUAUCCAUGACCGCCAAAAAAGUAUAUCAAAUUGUUGUUUUCAAGGUGCACACAUAUAUAGCACUACAAUUGAACAAGCUUCUCUCUGUACUAUCUCCUUACAUUACAUAUGAUCCUCAUCAAUCAUUGCCAGUUGCCUAUAUCAACUGCCAGUUUUCUCAUAAGCUUUUUAGACUUUAGCUACAAAAGCCGUUAUUUAAAAAAGCUUGGCACACUGAUUGUCUCAUCCUGCCCUGGAAAGAAGCCGUCAACAUCUGCGCUCCUCAGCGUGGGAACUAAGAAGCAAACAUUCGAACCACUCACUCAUACGAAGAAACAGUAACAAGCAUUUUACAUUUUUAAACUACUUAUUCCAUAAUUUGUUUGUUCUCUUACAAUACCACAUAGGUAGCAGAAAAACAAAAGUUGGGUGCGGCCAAAAUUCAAUCACAUGGUUUGACAUGUAUAGCUGGAUUUUGAUUGCCUAUACCAACGUCUUAUAAUCAGUCGCCUCAAUGAAGUUUCUCCCUUUUUUGUGCAAAUGACAGUUCUGUCUCCAGUGUAGAAUGUGCAGCUGCGAGUUAAUUUGUUGUUGCACUUUUUUCUGAUACUGGUCAGUUUUUUUCCCCAGGAAAGCGGUCUCUGUUCGCGCGCGCUCCGUCAGAGAAUUGCGCGGUGGUGACCGACGGAAAUAAGUUGUGUCACUGCCGCCGAAGGAAGAAAUUACAAACAUGGCGAUACCACUAAGGGCAAUGGGAGAGUUAUUGAAGUAUUGAUUUAAGAACAGGAAGCUCCUAGAAGAAGCUCUUACUCACUCUUCCUGUCCUAAUUCAGCUUCUAAUUACCAGCGACUCACGCUCAUCGGCAAUGCCGCUCUCGACUUAGCUAUUUCCAGCUAUUUCUUCGUGACUUACCCUGAUGUUGACUGUGGUAAGAUAUCUGGCCUCUCCACUGCCGAUGCAAGUACCGAAAAACUUGUUAGAGUUGCUGUCCAGCACGGUCUCUACAAGUGCCUCAGCCGUGAUUCGGCAAUCCUCGGUGAAAAGUGCGUAAUUGCGCAUCUCAUUGGCACUAGAUUGUCAAACUGAUUACAAUAGUUCCUAUGUGGAAUUGUAAUAGAGGAGACUUUGAAUUUGACGUAAGUGAAGGAGUUCGUGAAAACAGUGCAACAGGAGGAGGAGAUUGAGUUCUACGGAGGAACAAUAAAAGAACCAGAGGUUCUUGCAGACAUUGUGGAGUCUAUAAUGGGGGCUGUAUAUUUGGAUUGUGGCUUUGAUGUGAAUGAUGUCUGGGUGGUCAGUUUCUUUUUUACUAUUUAAGUUUGUUCUCGCCAAUGAUAUUAUGAAAACUCUAUUUACCUUAUCCUUUCUGGAUUUAGAGUACCAAUGUAUCAAUCAACUAUGCCUCAAUCCCAAUUAGUUAGGUUGGUUAUACGAAUUCUCUAUAUCUGUUCCUCUGGAUUUCUAUUAUAACUUGAAAAUGUGAUUAUGUGGAAUCAAAGAGUUGAGUCUCGCAGGCCUAUUGGCUUUUAGUAAGUGCUUCUAAUUUACAGCCUCAACGUUAGUGUACAAGGGGUUUUAACUGAUAUUU